AUGAUGAUAGCAAAGCAAAUGUUCUUUGGUGGUGAAAAGUUUUUGGCAGGAAUAUCAGGGGAUUCUAAUGGUAGCAUUUCAGACAGGGAGAGUUCAAAAAACUCGUCUUGCAUAAAGGUUGCUGGGCUGUUUCUGAGACCACUCCUCUCCAUCACCUCCAAAGUGUGCUUCGAAAACAGUCAUCACAUGCUAGCCUCUUACGGACAUGAUGGUGGUCCAGGAGAAGGCCUCUUGAGAGGACUGAAGGAUUUAUCUUCUGGUCCACUUGGGAAACUUUUCACACCAUCUCACGUCACUGACAAGGAAGAAGGAAGAUCCGAAGACAAUGACAGCAAUUCAAAGUUUGAUCUGGGGGUGCCAGAUGAUCUUGUUGUGUCAGUUGUUCUGUUAAGAAACUGGUUGUUCGCACUUGAAGGGACAGAAGAAGCACGCGAUUGGUCUUCCCCUCGUAGUGGUGAUCCUAUUGGUAGGGAUGAUAAAUGUGUGGAGGAACGUCGUACCCAUCCUGGGCGACGACUGCGUGUUAAUAUAGGCCAGGGCGCGACUCCUGGCAUAGCGUACAAGUUACCCCUUUUUGGAGACGUGUGCAUGAAGCAACAGGAGGUGCAGCAGAGAUAUCCGGCGCAGCAGAUCCCCCGAUGGAGCCCUCUGCACCGACCGCCUCGUCAUCAUGCAGGGCAGACGGAUCGUCUGCGGCAUCUGGAGCGGGAGGUGGCACGGGUGAAGUGGGGCGUGGCGCUGAAGAUCCGAGGCUGCGCAGCACGUCCGGCUCAGGCUCAUCAUGCGGCAAUGAUGAGGCGGGCCCGGCCAAAUCUACGUCGGAUCACGCGUCUGGAGGCGCAUCAAGGGACCGGCCCGGAUCAGCUUCGGAGGCCGCGCCUGGCGCCAGGUGAUGGGGCUGCGCGCCGGUCGGCUGACGGUGCUCGAAGUGGAGGGGCCCAGCGAGUCUCGAUGCGCCGCGUGAGGGCGUCCAAGUGGUGCGGGCCGGAGGGAGCACCCAAGCCAGUGGCGAGGCGCGACGUGGCGGGCGCGGAGGCGAGGUUGCGGCGCUCGCCAGACGAGGCGGGAUCCCGCGCGCUGCCAGUCUGGGGUGGCCCCGAUCCCGAGGGCGAUCCGCUGCCAUCUUGCAGGGAACCAAUCCCGAGGAGGAUCUGCUCCCCAACCCUGGACGCAUAA
rnacentral:rRNA from 1 species